rnacentral:rRNA from 1 species
UACGUAGGUGGCAAGCGUUGUCCGGAAUUACUGGGCGUAAAGCGUGCGCAGGCGGUUUUUGUAAAGUUUGUCGUGAAAUCCCCCGGGCUCAACCUGGGAAUGGCGAUGAAGACUGCAAGGCUAGAAUCUGGCAGAGGGGGGGUAGAAUUCCACGUGUAGCAGGUGAAAUGCGUAGAGAUGUGGAGGAACACCGAUGGCGAAGGGCAGCCCCCUGGG